rnacentral:rRNA from 1 species
GAUGAACGCUAGCUACAGGCUUAACACAUGCAAGUCGAGGGACCGGCGCACGGGUGAGUAACACGUAUCCAACCUGUCCUUUACUCGGGGAUAGCCUUUCGAAAGAAAGAUUAAUACCCGAUAUAAAGGUUGGUGAUGCGUUACAUUAGGUUGUUGGUGAGGGAACGGCUCACCAAGCCUUCGAUGGAUGGCGGUGCUGAGAGGAAGGUCCCCCAGAUUGGAACUGAGACACAGACCACACCCGGACGCAAGGGAGGAGAGUGGGAUACUGUUGGAGGAGCGCUAGCCUGAACAAGCCAAGUAGCGGAAAGGAGGAAGGCUUAGGGAACGUAAGCUUAUUGUAAAUAAGAUAAGGUACUAUAUGAAUAAGGAUCGGCUAACUCCGUGCCAGCAGCCGCGGUAAUUC